CGAUGUUGGGCCAAAUGUGCUACAGUUAGCGUUAAGGAGGUUGGAGACUAUGCAGAGAAGCCUUCAGUGGGCAAGAGGAAGACUGAUCAAUGUAACUGCAGCAGAUCAACUUCUGCGUGACUUGGCUGAAUUGAUUCAGGAGGUCGAACUGUCUACUCAGCAUGGCCAACAAGGCUGUUUUGGAUACCAGGCACCAGUGGUUUUCAACAGAGGUAGAGGUAGAUCCCUUUACCUUAUCACUCGGGAACAGCUUUCAUUCCUGAAGUCAUGUGGAUUCACUGCACCUCAGAUGGCUGAUAUUUUGAAUGUUUCACUUCGUACAAUUCGAAGACGUCUGCGACAGUAUCAUUUCACCCGUGCAUCAAUGUAUGCGGAACUGACUGACAGUGCCUUGGAUGAACAUGUGCAGGACAUUGUCGCUGGCAAUGAACAAAUUGGUCCUGAGGCUGUCAGAGCCUC